UACAGAGGUCUCAAGCGUUGUUCGGAUUCAUUGGGCGUAAAGGGUGCGUAGGCGGCGCGGUAAGUCGGAUGUGAAAUCUCGGGGCUUAACUCCGAAACUGCAUUCGAUACUGCCGUGCUUGAGGACUGGAGAGGGGACUGGAAUUUACGGUGUAGCGGUGAAAUGCGUAGAUAUCGUAAGGAAGACCAGUGGCGAAGGCGGGUCUCUGGACAGUUCCUGACGCUGAGGCACGAAGGCCAGGGGAGCAAACGGG
rnacentral:rRNA from 1 species